AGCUUUUUGAAUCCGUGCUGAGAUUUCGUCAGACACCUAACCCAUUAGGGCUGGUCAGACUUCGAAGGUAAGUGAAGUU
rnacentral:pre_miRNA from 1 species